CCUACGGGUGGCAGCAGUGAGGAAUAUUGGUCAAUGGACGAGAGUCUGAACCAGCCAAGUCGCGUGAAGGAUGACUGCCCUAUGGGUUGUAAACUUCUUUUAUAAAGGAAUAAAACGAGGCACGUGUGCCUUUUUGCAUGUCCUUUAUGAAUAAGGAUCGGCUAACUCCGUGCCAGCAGCCGCGGUAAUACGGAGGAUCCGAGCGUUAUCCGGAUUUAUUGGGUUUAAAGGGAGCGUAGAUGGGUUGUUAAGUCAGUUGUGAAAUUUUGCGGCGCAACCGUAAAAUUGCAAUUGAUACUGGCAGUCUUGAGUACAGGUGAGGUAGGCGGAAUGCGUGGUGUAGCGGUGAAAUGCUUAGAUAUCACGAAGAACCCCGAUUGCGAAGGCAGCUUACUAAACUGUGACUGACAUUGAUGCUCGAAAGUGUGGGUAUCAAACAGGAUUAGAUACCCGAGUAGUC
rnacentral:rRNA from 1 species